GGUCGGUUAGCUCAGUUGGUUAGAGCGUCGUAUGUUAUACUACCUGCAGCAUCUGUUAAUCUUACUAACCCAUGACAGGUACUAAUACAGAAUCCCACUGUACUAAGUGAUGCGAAGGUCAUGAGUUCGACCCUCAUACUGACCA